rnacentral:rRNA from 1 species
AACGAACGCUGGCGGCAGGCCUAACACAUGCAAGUCGAGCGCACCUUCGGGUGAGCGGCGGACGGGUUAGUAACGCGUGGGAAUAUACCCUUCUCUACGGAAUAGCCUCGGGAAACUGAGAGUAAUACCGUAUACGCCCUUCGGGGGAAAGAUUUAUCGGAGUUGGAUUAGCCCGCGUUGGAUUAGGUAGUUGGUGAGGUAACGGCUCACCAAGCCGACGAUCCAUAGCUGGUUUGAGAGGAUGAUCAGCAACACUGGGACUGAGACACGGCCCAG